UACGAAGGGGGCUAGCGUUGCUCGGAAUCACUGGGCGUAAAGGGUGCGUAGGCGGGUCUUUAAGUCAGGGGGGAAAUCCUGGAGCUCAACUCCAGAACUGCCUUUGAUACUGAGGAUCUUGAGUUCGGGAGAGGUGAGUGGAACUGCGAGUGUAGAGGUGAAAUUCGUAGAUAUUCGCAAGAACACCAGUGGCGAAGGCGGCUCACUGGCCCGAUACUGACGCUGAGGCACGAAAACGUGGGGAGCAAACAGG
rnacentral:rRNA from 1 species